rnacentral:lncRNA from 1 species
GAAAAUUGAAUUGAUAUAUGAUAAGCAUAAACAUAUGAAUUGUUAUUAAACCGAACCUCAAGAAUCAAGAACAAGAAUUCCUCACACCAAUGGAUCGAAAAUAAGUUUAGUUCUCCAUUCAAGCGGUGGCUGCUAGGGUUUUUUUAUUUUCUCGUGAACAGUGAAUAAUAACCCUAGCUGCCUUUUUUCGGUUUAAAUAAUACAUGGAACGGGCCUUAAAACAAUUGGGCCGAAAAAUAUGAAGUUGUGCUGAAAUUAAAUUCGUCUGGAACAUAAACGCCAUUAUUUGACACACUUGCGCUCCGAACUGGGUUUUGGCCUCAACAUGAAAGUCGUAGCUCUUGAUCUCAGCUUUCCAACGCAUCUUCCCGCGCCUCAAUCCGAUAUUUGUAACUCCAGUUAUAACCUGCGGACCGGAAGGGUGUCAAAGUGCUAUUUAUUCAUAAAUUAAGUGCGAAAAUAAAAUAGAGUUAGAAAUAAACUUAAAUAUAAAAACUCCUUAAAAUAGU